CCCUUAGAUGUUCUGGGCUGCACGCGCGCUACACUGAUGCACUCAACGAGUUUACGACCUUGCCCGAUAGGGUUGGGUAAUCUUUUUAAAAUGCAUCGUGAUGGGGGUAGAUUAUUGCAAUUAUUAAUCUUCAACGAGGAAUUCCUAGUAAGCGCGAGUCAUCAGCUCGUGCUGAUUACGUCCCUGCCCUUUGUACACACCGCCCGUCGCUCCUACCGAUUGAGUGCUCAGGUGAAUAAUUCGGACUGCAGCAAUGUUUGGAUCCCGAACGUUGCAGCGGAAAGUUUAGUGAACCUUAUCACUUAGAGGAAGGAGAAGUCGUAACA
rnacentral:rRNA from 1 species